GGCGUGGCAGCGCGAAGACCAAAGAGCCCGGAAAGUGGUCACUGGCUCCGGAGGGGAAAACUCGGCUAAGUAGCUCGCAGCUGCUGCUACUAACCCAAAUUUGAUCAGGAACAAAUCAGUAGAGUGUUCAAAGCGUCCUUUGGUGUUAAAUAAACAUGGGAUAUUGGCUGGACCGAGUUACUUACGUGCAUAACCUUAAGCAAGUUAUUGAUCUUUGUAAAUCUAAAUCUCUUCCUGUGAAGUACAGUACCAUAUAUUGAUGCUCAUCUCAUUCAGUGCCCUAUAAAAAUGUUGUAAUUUCUUUAAAUGCAGAGAAUCUGAAAAAAUUUUUAAUCUUUACAGAAAUAGAUGUUUUUCUUUCACAUCUAAGGCAAUUAAUAAAAGUUGGUGGUUGAUAGUGAUGAGAUAUGAGAGACCUGCACUUUAACUCCGUACAAUUUAGAGGGCACAGCUCUAGGUUAAGCCUGAAAAGCAACUCUCAUUAUAGAUCGUUCACUGAAAGUGGAGUGAAGCAAUUACAAUAUCUCUCUGAAGAGAGAGAAAAGAAAGCUGUGGUGGAACUCCAAGAUGGUGUUCAAGGAUUCUUUCUGUUUGGUAAUGGGACCAGUCACUUAGGCUUACUUUGUCUUGCUUAUAUGGCCAGGCUUGAGCCGCAGUGUAAGGUCAAUGCUCCAACUACACAACUAGACAUCUCCUUCGAGACCCAGGGCUGCUGUGAAUCAUGUUUUUCUGGAAUGGGGAAAAAACCUACUUUGAUAUCCUUUUAAAAAAACAAAGAAAUAAUUUAAAUUUCUCAUUGUCUCUUUCAGACUUUAAAUAUAUAUUAAAUCUGUAUAAUAUAAUUUUAAUAUUCUCUUAAAUUCCAUGAAAUUUAGCUGCACUGUGAAAGUGGAUUAAAAGUAUCAUUCUAUGAUUGUGUUCUAUUUUUUUCUCCAGCUUUUAAUUCAGAAAAUUUGUAAACCUAAGAAAGGUGGAAUGGACAGAGCAAUAAUUACUUAUAUAUUCUUGAACGGGAUUAACCAAUUUUUCCCACAUGCUUAUAUUUCCCUUCAUGUGUGCUUACAUCUUCCUACAUGUUUGAGACAUGGUUUAUUCAACUAAAUGAAAAUAAUUUAAUUCCUCUUGGAAGAAUAUUAUUACUUACACUUUUUUGGUCCUGUGUCUCCCCUCUUUUUUGUCAUGUAAAAAUUAUUCUUGUUAAAAAAAAAAAAUACUCCAAGCAAAUGUGAAUGACCAAAAAGUCUCAGGGACCUUUUCAGUUACCCAGUCUGCUCCUCCUUUAUGUCUGUAUCUACAGUAUAGAUAUAACUUUUACUAUUGUCAGGAAAAACUAUAUACUGAUAUAGUUUGCACACAAAUUGUUUGAAAUCUGUGUUGAUGUUGGUUUUACAGACUGAGUUGCUCAUACUAGCCCAUUUAUUUUUAUUUCUAUUUAUACAUAUUAAAAAAUGGGUUAGAAUGAACAGCAGGUGGCAGUGCUAGCAAAGGUUGUGACUUUGGGUAUAUAAUAGGCUUUGAAAAGGGAUGACGUUUUUCAAACCUAUGUGAGUAACAAAAUUAGUUCAUAAGGAAUCUUUAAAUAAGGAUCUGUAUUUAUCUCCAAUUCAUUUUAUUUCAAGAAUUAUUUUAGGAAUCAGUUGAAAAUUUUAGGAGAAAUGUACUUUAAAUUACUAGUUAGAGACUGAAUUUUGUUUUAAUUGUAGGAUCAAAUCACAGAAAAGCCACCUUGUUUAAUCCUUGUUUUUUGCUUCUUUUAUAACCUGAAAAAAAUCUGAAUACCCUAAUUAGAAAGAUUAGUUUGAAUCCUGGUAGUAUUUGCAGGAAAAAUGUCAUAGUAACAUCACUAAUUUCUAUUGAUUAAAAUGCAGUUAUUUGGAAAUUGUGUGCCAAACUUCAAGAAAGCUCUUAUAAAGGAAAGCUACUAUGGUUCAACAGGGUGACCAGGUUUAGAAAGCUUAAAGUGCUCUCGACAUUGCUGGAAAUAAUGUUUAAAAUAUUCUUUGAUUAUAACUUGUUUUGGAGAUGAUAAUUUUGUUGCAUUUAUCUUCUAUCGUUUUAAAGAAAAGGAAUCUAGGAGGAAAAAGUAUUUUUGUUCUCAUUGAGGUAUUCUAUUUGAAUUUUCACAAUUUUUGUGUUAUUUUACAAGAAAUGAUGAGACUUUUGAAGAUGGCAUAUCAGAAACUGUUUAAUGUCUUGGAUUUUAAUAGCUGUUUAUAUGUGUUUGAAUGACAUAUAUUGCUUAUUUAGAUAAUCAUAUAUUUAUAUGUCCGUGGAAUCUUCAGCAAACAGAAGAGUAAUUUAUUUGUUAUUGAUAUAAUUGUCUAACUUAGUAAGAACUUGUAACACUUAAAUUAGAAAAAAAAUUGAGAACUUCUGUCAUUUGAUGGGACUUUACUGAGAUGAAAAAACUGAGGGUCCAGAGAGAAUUCAUUGAAGGAGGUUUGAUUAAUGAUUGGAAGAUCCUUGUUACAUUGUCUUGCUUCUUGGGAAGACUCAGAAACAAUCCAGUUACAAAUUAUUAUUUUGUUUAUUUAUAGUCUGGGGGACCCUACAUUUUCUGGGUCCUGUAUUUUAAUAUGAAGAAAAUUAAAUACCUUAGCUUAUCCAAGAAGCACAUCCUUUGACCUCUUCUCUAAUUAACUGACCAGUUGAAUUCAUGCCCCAUUUGCUCAUUGUGUAAUUGUAAUUAAACAAAUCUUUCUGAACCCUCUAGUUUCUGUGCUUUCUGAGAAAUACCCUACAUGGAUGCAACCAUUACUAUCCCUGCAUUUUAAGACUGUGUGAAGAGGUGUGAGCUUCAAUUAAUAUUUGGGAUUAUGAAAUCACAGAUUUAAAGGAGUAAUGCGUUUGCUCCCUGGCAGACAUGAUCGACACCUUCCUCCAGCCCCGCUUCUUGGCCCCACCUUCAUUAGUACUCAUCAGAUUGUCUCUGGUUAAACUCAAUCAACCCUCUGCCUACUCACUCUAUGUUUGCACCCCAGAAGCAGAAUGUGACUGGAGAAAAACACAUGCUCAGGAGGAAUCCUUCUUAUCCCACUUCUGUUUCUUCCAUGUGGAAGGGCUUUAAUAAUAUUUCUGGCUUGUCUCUAUCCCUUCAUUCAUUCUGCACUACAGAAGGAACCAUGAUUUCAUCUACUUGGGAAAUUGAGAGGGGAAUUGGGUGGAUCUACCUCCUAUUCCUUGGGAUCUGGCUAUCUGCAGGAAGCAUGAGCUCUCCUCUGCCACAUGGCUGAGGGUUCUGAUUCUGUCAGGGAGUCUGCAGUUCUCCAGUCCUAACUGUAACUGGGCUGGCAGGUCCAUCUAAUUUUGGGUUUCAAUAUUAGGAAGCCCACUUGCCCAGAGAUGUCAGACACAUUUUCCAAGAUCAGCCUUAUCAACAGUAGAGGUGUUAACUGGCUUCAUAUUUGUCUUUUUCUUAUCUUUUUUUCUUCUCAAUUGAAAGAAAACUUAAGGGUGUUAUUUAUCAAGUCUCCCUAAACUCUUGCCACUCUACCUAAAAUAGCCCCUGUUCACUCUCUAUUCCUUUGCCCAGCCUUAUUUUUCAUCACAUUUGUACUAUUACCUGAUAUGAUAUAUGUGUGUGUUUGCUGUCUGUUUCCUCUGAUAAAUGUAAGCUCCACAAAGGGAGUACAUUUGUUUGUUUUAACUGUAUCCCUAGUACCUGAUACACUGCUUGAGUCAUAGUAGGUUCUCAAUAAAUAUUCGUUGAAUUAUUGUUGAGGGAAAGAAUGUGAGAAUGUUUUCAUUAUAUUCUGAGGGUUCAGUGGAGGGGCUUGUCAUUUUAUUUGCUUUAUUAAAUAUGUCAACUCUUAA